ensembl:lncRNA
AACACCUGUGUGUUUAAAGGUUAGUUGGCAUGGGAGUGUUUGUUGCAACACAGCCGUAACAUGCUUGGAAGUCUCAGCAGGCACCUGGGAUAUCUCCCAGUGUCUCUACUGUGCCUAAAAAUGGAGAAAUCCAGCUCCAAGCCUGGGUCCCCUUUGACACUUCACUGUCAGUUUCAAUAUAUUUUUUCAGCUUUUACUAUGCUGACCUAACUUUUCCUAAAUGCUAUUAAAAUUUUAAAAGCUAAGAAAAAAAGAAAGAUAAAUUGUCUGAAGGGCCAAGAGCUAUCGCAUCCACACUUCAAAGAUGGAACAUUUCCACAAAGGCUACAAGAUUCUUGGAGUUGUUUUGUAACUUCGGGGAUGAUUUUCUGUUCCUUCUGAUCGGUGAUGGGCAGACUGCAUUUGCUGGGAAAAAUUUAUUGUAGACCUUCAUGACCAAGAGAGUGCACCAGAAGACAGAUGUUGUUUGCAUUCUUGCCAUGCACUUGAUUUGAUUGCCUUUUAUUUCUCCUACUCAGAUCUAAAAUGUUGCCACCCCUCCCCAGCCCUGCUGUGAGGAUUGGUUGGUAUUUGGGCUUUACAGUGAUAAUAAAAGAGGGCCCGCUCCAGCACCAUUUAUAGGAGAAUUGGGGAAUCUAAGGUUGAUGUUUUGUUAGUGUGACUCUGGGUGAAUUUCUAUGGAGCUGGUGGAAAAUCAAUUAUGCCCUGCGCUGAGCUGACCAGUUCUCACCGCAUCCUGAGUUCUGCUCUGCUGCUGUUAUCCCAGACUCACUUCUGGAAAAGCAAUACUGCCUGCCCCAACCCGGUAUGAGCUGCUGCAGUUCGCCACGAGAAGCCUCCUGAAACAAAGGAACAGUACACAGCCAAAUGAAAUGCAGUGCACCAGUCAAGGAGAUGCAACGUGAUGAAAACAAAUGAAACCAGCUGAAAAGCAAGCUCAACGAUUACUCCCAUUCUCAUCUGAAAUCCCCAUAGGUAGGUAGGGUAGCAUCUUGAACAGUUAAGUGCCCCCCCAGUCCAGGAGUCAAAACAAGAGCAGUCCUUCAAUAUUAAAAGCAUUCCUGCUGUGUCACAUCAUGGCGCCUGCCUAAGCUGAAUUCGAGACUCCUUAUUGUCAAGAGGCACUACCAUUACACUACAUUUUAAUAUGGACCUUUGCCAACAAUCAUAAAUAAA